UACUCCUACCGGGAGGCAGCAGUGGGGAAUAUUGCACAAUGGGCGCAAGCCUGAUGCAGCCAUGCCGCGUGUGUGAAGAAGGCCUUAGGGUUGUAAAGCACUUUCAGCGAGGAGGAAGGCAUCAUACUUAAUACGUGUGGUGAUUGACGUUACUCGCAGAAGAAGCACCGGCUAACUCCGUGCCAGCAGCCGCGGUAAUACGGAGGGUGCAAGCGUUAAUCGGAAUUACUGGGCGUAAAGCGCACGCAGGCGGUUUGUUAAGUCAGAUGUGAAAUCCCCGAGCUUAACUUGGGAACUGCAUUUGAAACUGGCAAGCUAGAGUCUUGUAGAGGGGGGUAGAAUUCCAGGUGUAGCGGUGAAAUGCGUAGAGAUCUGGAGGAAUACCGGUGGCGAAGGCGGCCCCCUGGACAAAGACUGACGU
rnacentral:rRNA from 1 species